CUCAAGUGAGGUCAGUGCUGCUGGGGUUGAUGACGAUGGCAGCACUGAUCCUGUUUGAAGC
rnacentral:pre_miRNA from 1 species